rnacentral:rRNA from 1 species
GACGAACGCUGACGGCGUGCUUAACACAUGCAAGUCGAACGGUAAGGCCCUUCGGGGUACACGAGUGGCGAACGGGUGAGUAACACGUGGGUGAUCUGCCCUGCACUUCGGGAUAAGCCUGGGAAACUGGGUCUAAUACCGGAUAGGACUCCGGACUGCAUGGUCUGGGGUGGAAAGCUUUUGCGGUGUGGGAUGGGCCCGCGGCCUAUCAGCUUGUUGGUGGGGUGAUGGCCUACCAAGGCGACGACGGGUAGCCGGCCUGAGAGGGGGACCGGCCACACUGGGACUGAGAUACGGCCCAGACUCCUACGGGAGGCAGCAGUGGGGAAUAUUGCACAAUGGGCGCAAGCCUGAUGCAGCGACGCCGCGUGAGGGAUGACGGCCUUCGGGUUGUAAACCUCUUUCAGCAUCGACGAAGCGAAAGUGACGGUAGGUGCAGAAGAAGGACCGGCCAACUACGUGCCAGCAGCCGCCGUAA